rnacentral:rRNA from 1 species
UACAGAGGGUGCGAGCGUUAAUCGGAAUUACUGGGCGUAAAGCGCACGUAGGCGGCUUGGUAUGUCGGGUGUGAAAUCCCCGGGCUCAACCCGGGAACUGCGUCCGAUACUGGCAGGCUUGAAUCCGGGAGAGGGAUGUGGAAUUCCAGGUGUAGCGGUGAAAUGCGUAGAUAUCUGGAGGAACACCGGUGGCGAAGGCGGCAUCCUGGACCGGUAUUGACGCUGAUGCGCGAAAGCCAGGGGAGCAAACGGG